rnacentral:rRNA from 1 species
CCUACGGGGGGCUGCAGUGGGGAAUAUUGCACAAUGGGGGAAACCCUGAUGCAGCAACGCAGCGUGAGUGAAGAAGUAUUUCGGUAUGUAAAGCUCUAUCAGCAGGGAAGAAAAUGACAGGACCUGACUAAGAAGCCCCGGCUAACUACGUGCCAGCAGCCGCGGUAAUACGUAGGGGGCAAGCGUUAUCCGGAUUUACUGGGUGUAAAGGGAGCGUAGACGGCGGAUCAAGUCAGAAGUGAAAGCCCGGGGCUCAACCGCGGGACUGCUUUUGAAACUGUAAGGCUAGAGUGCAGGAGAGGUGAGUGGAAUUCCUAGUGUAGCGGUGAAAUGCGUAGAUAUUAGGAGGAACACCGGUGGCGAAGGCGGCUUACUGGACUGUAACUGACGUUGAGGCUCGAAAGCGUGGGGAUCAAACAGGAUUAGAUACCCCAGUAGUC